AGUGAACGCUGGCGGUAGGCCUAACACAUGCAAGUCGAACGGCAGCACAGUAAGAGCUUGCUCUUACGGGUGGCGAGUGGCGGACGGGUGAGGAAUACAUCGGAAUCUACUUUUUCGUGGGGGAUAACGUAGGGAAACUUACGCUAAUACCGCAUACGACCUACGGGUGAAAGCAGGGGAUCUUCGGACCUUGCGCGAUUGAAUGAGCCGAUGUCGGAUUAGCUAGUUGGCGGGGUAAAGGCCCACCAAGGCGACGAUCCGUAGCUGGUCUGAGAGGAUGAGCGGAGACAGAGGAACUGAGAGACGGUGCAGACUAGUACGGGAGGCAGCAGUAGGGAAGGGUAAGAAAGUGGCGAAAGUCUGAAGGCGCAACGAGGCGUGAGUGAAGAAGGUGGGCGGAUCGUAAAACUCUGUUAGGAGGGAAGAAAAAAUGCGUAAGGAACCAUGCACGUAUGGACGGUAACAAAACAGAAAGACACGGAUAACUACGU
rnacentral:rRNA from 1 species